rfam:Rattus norvegicus strain BN/SsNHsdMCW Contig143062, whole genome shotgun sequence.
AGGGAAGGAGGCCAAUGCUACAAGGGUUAUCUCUCAACCUCAGAUGUUGGAUAAGUCAGGGAACAGCGUCGUUUCUGGAUGGCUUCAGACAGGCCGGACUGACUGUUUGGAAGAGAAAAACCUGCUUAUUCUUUCAAAG